rnacentral:rRNA from 1 species
UACGUAGGGGGCAAGCGUUGUCCGGAUUUAUUGGGCGUAAAGAGCUCGUAGGUGGUUCGGUAAGUCGGAUGUGAAAUCUCCAGGCUCAACCUGGAGGGGUCAUUCGAUACUGCCGUGACUAGAGGUCGGUAGGGGAGUGUGGAAUUCCUGGUGGAGCGGUGAAAUGCGCAGAUAUCAGGAGGAACACCGGUGGCGAAGGCGGGUCUCUGGGCCGAUACUGACGCUGAGGAGCGAAAGCGUGGGGAGCGAACAGG